ensembl:lncRNA
GCACAGGAAGAUUCCCCCAGCACAGGAAGGAGAUCACACCAGAGGCAGCUAAAAAGAGUCACAAGUGUCAUUCUUGCACUUGAGAACUGGGACCAUGUCUUCACCUCCUCUACAUGCCCUACGUGCCCAGACCCCGCACAAUGCCCCGCACACAGUGAGAGCCAGGAGCGCUUUCGGUGAUGAGACGCUUUGCCAACGAACAUUCAGGAGAGUCUCAUGCGUCACAGAUUCCUAACAGCCUAGAGGCACAUCCCAGGUGGCACUAAAGAGUCCAGCUGCCAAUGCAGGAGACACAGGAGACGUGGGUUCGAUCCCUGGGUUGGGAAGAUCCUCUAGAGGAGGAAAUAGCAACCCGCUCCAGUAUUUUUUGCCUGGAGAAUCCCAUGGACCGAGGAGCCUGGCAGGCUACAGUCCACGGGGUCGGAAAGAGUCGGAUACGACUGAGCACACACGCUUUUUUUUUCUCAGUAACCUAGAGAGCGGAGCAACCUGAAGACAUGUAUAUCCUCACUCCUGAGAGCAGCGGCUCUUUCCCUGAACCUGUUGUAACAUGGCUACAGGAUAUUCACCAUCUCCACGUCAGCGCCAUUAGCAGAACUCACCAUCUGCCCUUUGGAAAUCUCCUUCUGACCCCCACGAGUACAUCACAAUUUGCAUGGUACAAGAAAUGCGGUAAUAAAAGUAAGGAAUAAAAAUAAAGACCUCAGGUCGCCUUCAGGUGAGAGAGAGGAAAGGUCUCCUCAGCAUUUUAAGGUGAACGUCUCAGAAGCUGGCCUCUGGGUGGCCAGCGGGGUCAUCGUGGUGUUAUUCGACAGGACUGUCCUUCGUCGUCGCUGCCCACCAGAAGGGAAGGCUGGAGCUGACUGCCCGGAGAGUCAUCCCUUUCCCCUGAAGGAAGGGACGCGCUGGGGGCUUACAUGGUAAAGUUAUCAAAUGUCUCACAUCCGAACACCCACCUUAAAAUGACUCCCCCGCAGGUGUUUUUCUGUCUUUAUUUUUCCUGAUGGUAAUGUUUGUUAUUUUAACGUUCAAGAUGGUGCCCUGCCGACCCUGGAAACUCAAGGAAUUUUUCUUGGUGGUGAAAACAGCUAGAGAUAACAUUCAAUUGCCUCUUAUUUUGGUAACAACAACAAAAAUGGGCAAUUUUGAACCCUAAGGAGGUAUUUUUAUUAAUGUGUACUAAAAGCAGAGAUGAUGUUCUCCCCUACUGGGUGAGCGUUACUGAUUUUGACGCAUUUUAAUAGGAUUAUUGCUGUUGUCAGCUGAGCAUUGGUUGCAAAGAAAGAAGGGUUCCAGGACCACUCACCCAACUUCCUGAAAUGUCCACACUGUGAAAAUGUCCGUGACAUAUUUAUCAAAACUAAGACACGGAAAUGGUAUACGCUGUCAACUGAACUACAGGCUUCACGGGGAUCCCCCAACCAUUUCUUGUCAAUGAGAGACUUCAGUGUUAAUUUGAGAAAAAGCUUCCAACGCAGCGAGAGAACUGCAUUAAUUCAGAUGGACUGGGAUUAGCUAGGGAGAUGGUUCAGAAAACUAUAAAAUAUACCAUUUUAUGUGCCAAACAUAAAUAUGUUUUACAUUUUGGUCCUCAAUAUUUUGCAUGCCUGAUCUAAUUUCAUCCUCCGCAGAAACCACGUUGGCAGGGUGGGGGGUGGGGAUGGUGGUGGCAGGGGUGGAUGCUCUCAUGUCCCUUUAACAGCAGAAACAGCGGGAUCCAGGAUUCCGAGUAAAGUGCACGGGACAGCAGCUGAAAGUGGCAGGGCCGGGGAUGGCCAAGGCCUCUCUGAUCCCAAAGCCGUGACCAUAAGCCUCACCACUGCGGUGCAGACUGAAGGCUUCCUAACAGCAUGACCCAGAUGGUGGUUGUUCCGUCGUGUCCGACUCUCUGCAGCCCCAUGGACUGCAGCACGCCAGGCUUCCCCAUCCUUCACCAACUCCCGGAGCUUGUUCAAACUCAUGUCCACUGAGUCAGUGAUACCACUGAAGCAUCUCACCCUCUGUCAUCCCCUUCUCUUCCCGCCUUCAGUCUUUCCCAGCAUCAGGGUCUUUUCCAGUGAGUCAGCUCUUCGCAUCAGGUGUCCAAAGCAUUGGAGCUCCAGCUUCAGCAUCAGUCCUUCCAGUGAACAUUCAGGGUUGAUUUCCUUUAGGAUGGAUGCUGCCUCUCAGUCAGCAGUCUUGCCCAGGGGAACCCGCCUUCCGAUGGUCACCAGGAUCAACCGUGAUGGGGGACCAUGAGGUGGGAGGUUGUUCUGUGACGCUGACUGGUGAAUUUGAAGUGAACGGGGUUUCCUGCCUCUUGUGGAACCGGUUCAUCCCAACCCCGUGCUUUACCAGCUCCUUCUUCCUCCUGACUGGGGAGGGGCGUGGCUGACAUCCCAGUUAGCGCUUCGAUUUUCUUUCCUGAGUGUUUCAAGGCUUAAUUAACGUGUGUAAAGUGAUCUGAAAUGAGGGGCUAGAAAGAGCCAGGGAGCGGCAGCGUGGAUGAUCACCUGGGCGAGACAGCUGAAAGGGGGGCCGGGGGACCCCAAGAGCCCGCAGCUCCGCCGCCAGCUGGCUGGCCCAGAGCCAGAGCCGGGGAAGAUGGGUCUGAGGACACAGGUUGCAGCCGGUUCUGUAACUGGCUCUGGAGAGAAGGGAACACCAGCCCUCUUCCACUACUGGGGGGCCAUCUGCAAAUGGCCUGAUUGGGUCGGUUAAGGAAUAAGUGUGACCAGCAUCAGCGAUGAACACAGCAAAGCGAGGUUCCUUCAUGCCUUUCGAUGAGCGUGGAUUCACAGUAGUGAUUUAGUGCUGUCACC